rnacentral:rRNA from 1 species
UACGUAGGGUGCGAGCGUUGUCCGGAAUUAUUGGGCGUAAAGAGCUCGUAGGCGGUGUGUCACGUCGGCCGUGAAAACCUGCAGCUUAACUGUGAGCGUGCGGUCGAUACGGGCAUCACUGGAGUUCGGCAGGGGAGACUGGAAUUCCUGGUGUAGCGGUGAAAUGCGCAGAUAUCAGGAGGAACACCGGUGGCGAAGGCGGGUCUCUGGGCCGAUACUGACGCUGAGGAGCGAAAGCAUGGGUAGCGAACAGG